rnacentral:lncRNA from 1 species
UUGGGGGUAGACCAAGGGACAGGCCGAAGGCCAGAGGGCCUGAGUAGUGGUAGCAGUACUUUCCCCACCCCGCCCCCACCUGGGGUGCCAGCGCCCCGUGAAUCCGCCUCUAGCCACGUAUUGCCUGCCUGAACACUACCACCUCAAGAUAAUACUGAAGUAACCUUUGGCCCUGGAGAGCUGCUACACUGUACUGAACUCUCAGCUCAUGGACCCUUGUUUCCCUGAACACUCAUUCACUUAGGGGCCAGUUCCCACCCCCAGAUUUCAAGGGCCCAAAGUCCACCCAUACUCACAUCUUAAAGGGUCCUUUUCCCGGGCCCCACCCCUCUCUUCCCAGUAGUUCCAAAGGCCCACAGACUCACAGCUCUUGAAAGGAAAUGGCUGCCCCAUCUGUGCCCCUGUUCAAGAUCUACCAUCACCUACCCUGAGAGCCUGCCUGCCUCAAGAUAGAAUUCCACAGUCUGCACCCAUUUCUAAAUGGAUACUUCCCUACCUGAGAGACACCUACACCCGAAGGGCGAACACCCUGAUCUUCCGGCUCCUCCUCCUCCAGCUCUGGGAGGGACAUAUCAGGAGGAACAGAUAGACAAGCACCCAGGCUUCACCUGGGUUCAAGUCAGCAGAGACGGCCUGUCCACCUCUCUGGCCAGCAUUCAAGAGCAGGCCAAGGGAUGCCCUGAUGGUAAGAUCAGCCCCUGCCUGGCGGAGAGCAGAGGGCAGGGAGGAAGACCCGGGAACUUGGAAGAGCAAGCAAAACGCAGGCCUUUUAACGGGGCCAGCUUCCUGCAGGCUCUAGGGCGGGCCCUGUCCUUAAGCACACACAUGCUGCUCGCACACAAAGCGCCUCUCCUGCCCUGGGACACUGCCAUCCCCAAGCCCAUUCCCCAGGGAAUCUCUCCAGCCCGUACCUUCAGUGUGUCAAGGCCAGAAUGUGCGCUGUGCCGGCUCCUCCCCCUCCGCCACCCAAACUAGGAGCCCGGCAGAUUUUGGCCCUGGCGUGCAGGCCUGCGCUGUCCUGUCAGGGUGGCUGCGUGCUAUUGUCGGCUGUGGAAUGGCCGCCCAAACCCCAGCUGUGCUGCCAGAACCUAAUCCCCUGUGCCGAUGAGCUUUUGUGGGGAGGGGACGAGAGGCCAGGGCAUGGACCAAGUACCGCAGGCACUGGCUAGAGGCCCUAACCGACACAGGC